rnacentral:lncRNA from 1 species
GCCGGUGCCGCCUCUCUCUCCAGGUCCCCAGUUAAAGCAAUAUUUUAACAAAAGAGAUUUUUCUUUUUUUUCUUUUUUUUUUUCCAAGUUCGAAAGAACCCGUGUUGGGUGGGUGGCGGAGGGAGUCUGUAGGGUAACAGGCGCCUUCUCAGACUGGGAGCUGAGCACCUGGGGGUUUGCACCGGGACGCCGACUGCAGCUCGGGGGCAGGAUUCAGACGGGGGGGGGGGCGGGGAGGGGGAAGGAGCGAAGGCUCGGGGGGCUCGGCUGGGGGCGCGGCGCGGGGUAGCCGGGUCCGCCAGGCUCCGAUUCCGAGGGGCCAGGACCGUGCCCACCCUCCUCCCGGGCUCCACCCCGGCGCCAAGCCGCUUGCGGGGCCGAGCGCGCGGGGCCGGCCGUCCCGCGUCCCCGGCCGAGCGCCGCGCAACCCGACCGGCACACCGAGCGCGCUCACCGAUCUUGGCUUGCUCGCGGUAGCUCUUCUCGUUGAGGCAAACCCCGCGGCCGUGCAGCAGGGCGUGCAGCGGCUUCUCCUCGUCCUGCCGGGGGAGGCAGCGCAGCCCCUGGGCGCAGCGCUCCGUGUAGACGCCGCACGACUGCCCCUCGGCCAGGGCGCAAGUCAUGCAGCAACCGCAGCCGGGCUCUUUGACCAGCUCGCAGCCCAGGGGGCUGGGGGGGCACAUGGAGAGGGCUUUCUCGUCGCAGGGCUCGCAGUGCACGAAGGAGCCCAGGCCCUGGGCCGGCCCCGCACAGGAGGCCAGCAGCAGGAGGACCGCGGUGCCAGGACCUGCUUGCUCACCUCUGUCCCUGAGGCCUCUUGGCCACCCGUGCUUCUAGGCCACCCAGCAGUACUGGGCCGGAGUCCACACCAGCUGUGA